rnacentral:rRNA from 1 species
UACAGAGGGGGCAAGCGUUGUUCGGAAUUACUGGGCGUAAAGGGCUCGUAGGUGGCCAACUAAGUCAGACGUGAAAUCCCUCGGCUUAACCGGGGAACUGCAUCUGAUACUAGAUGGCUUGAGUUUGGGAGAGGGAUGCGGAAUUCCAGGUGUAGCGGUGAAAUGCGUAGAUAUCUGGAGGAACACCAGAGGCGAAGGCGGCCACCUGGACAGAGAUUGACGCUGAGACGCGAAAGCGUGGGGAGCAAACAGGG